rnacentral:rRNA from 1 species
AUUGAACGCUGGCGGCAGGCCUAACACAUGCAAGUCGAGCGGAUGAAGGGAGCUUGCUCCUGGAUUCAGCGGCGGACGGGUGAGUAAUGCCUAGGAAUCUGCCUGGUAGUGGGGGAUAACGUCCGGAAACGGGCGCUAAUACCGCAUACGUCCUGAGGGAGAAAGUGGGGGAUCUUCGGACCUCACGUUAUCAGAUGAGCCUAGGUCGGAUUAGCUAGUUGGUGGGGUAAGGGCCUACCAAGGCGACGAUCCGUAACUGGUCUGAGAGGAUGAUCAGUCACACUGGAACUGAGACACGGUCCAGACUCCUACGGGAGGCAGCAGUGGGGAAUAUUGGACAAUGGGCGAAAGCCUGAUCCAGCCAUGCCGCGUGUGUGAAGAAGGUCUUCGGAUUGUAAAGCACUUUAAGUUGGGAGGAAGGGCAGUAAGUUAAUACCUUGCUGUUUUGACGUUACCAACAGAAUAAGCACCGGCUAACUUCGUG